rnacentral:tRNA from 1 species
GGAAAUGUGGCUUAAUGGUAGAGUGCUUGGCUUGCAUGCAUGGAGCUCUGGGUUCAAUUCCUGGUACCA